UACGUAGGUGGCAAGCGUUGUCCGGAAUUCUUGGGCGUAAAGCGCGCGCAGGCGGGUUUUUAAGUCUGUCUUAAAAGUUCGGGGCUUAACCCCGUGAGGGGAUGGAAACUGGAAACCUAGAGUAUCGGAGAGGAAAGCGGAAUUCCUAGUGUAGCGGUGAAAUGCGUAGAUAUUAGGAAGAACACCAGUGGCGAAGGCGGCUUUCUGGACGAAAACUGCCGCUGAGGCGCGAAAGCCAGGGGAGCAAACGGG
rnacentral:rRNA from 1 species